GGAGGAAAGUAGGGGAUCGCAAGACCUCAUGCUCGUGGAGCGGCCGAUAUCUGAUUAGCUAGUUGGUAGGGUAAAAGCCUACCAAGGCAUCGAUCAGUAGCUGGUCUGAGAGGACGACCAGCCACACUGGAACUGAGACACGGUCCAGACUCCUACGGGAGGCAGCAGUGGGGAAUUUUGGACAAUGGGCGAAAGCCUGAUCCAGCAAUGCCGCGUGAGUGAAGAAGGCCUUCGGGUUGUAAAGCUCUUUUGUCAGGGAAGAAACGGUGAGGGCUAAUAUCUCUUGCUAAUGACGGUACCUGAAGAAUAAGCACCGGCUAACUACGUGCCAGCAGCCGCGGUAAUACGUAGGGUGCAAGCGUUAAUCGGAAUUACUGGGCGUAAAGCGUGCGCAGGCGGUUUUGUAAGUCUGAUGUGAAAUCCCCGGGCUCGACCUGGGAAUUGCGUUUGAAACUACAAAGCUAG
rnacentral:rRNA from 1 species